ACGAACGCUGGCGGCGUGCUUAACACAUGCAAGUCGAACGGAAAGGCCCUGCUUUUGUGGGGUGCUCGAGUGGCGAACGGGUGAGUAACACGUGAGUAACCUGCCCUUGACUUUGGGAUAACUUCAGGAAACUGGGGCUAAUACCGGAUAGGAGCUCCUGCUGCAUGGUGGGGGUUGGAAAGUUUCGGCGGUUGGGGAUGGACUCGCGGCUUAUCAGCUUGUUGGUGGGGUAGUGGCUUACCAAGGCUUUGACGGGUAGCCGGCCUGAGAGGGUGACCGGCCACAUUGGGACUGAGAUACGGCCCAGACUCCUACGGGAGGCAGCAGUGGGGAAUAUUGCACAAUGGGCGGAAGCCUGAUGCAGCAACGCCGCGUGCGGGAUGACGGCCUUCGGGUUGUAAACCGCUUUCGCCUGUGACGAAGCGUGAGUGACGGUAAUGGGUAAAGAAGCACCAGCUAACUACGU
rnacentral:rRNA from 1 species